UUUGGGAGGCAGCAGUGAGGAAUAUUGGUCAAUGGGCGAAAGCCUGAACCAGCAACGCCGCGUGAGGGAUGAAUGCCUUCGGGUCGUAAACCUCUUUUUUGGGAGAAGAGACAAGGACGGUAUCCCAGGAAUAAGUCUCGGCUAACUACGUGCCAGCAGCCGCGGUAAAACGUAGGAGGCAAGCGUUAUCCGGAUUUACUGGGCGUAAAGCGCACGCAGGCGGUCGUGCAAGUCGGACGUGAAAGCUCCUGGCUCAACUGGGAGAGGUCGUUCGAAACUGCACGGCUUGAGGUUGGAAGAGGAGAGCGGAAUUCCCGGUGUAGUGGUGGAAUGCGUAGAUAUCGGGAGGAACACCAGUGGCGAAAGCGGCUCUCUGGUCCACACCUGACGCUCAGGUGCGAAAGCGUGGGUAGCGAACGGGAUUAGAUACCCCGGUAGUCCACGCUGUAAACGAUGCGAACUAGGUGUUGGUAGUAUUAAACCUAUCAGUGCCGAAGCUAACGCGAUAAGU
rnacentral:rRNA from 1 species